rnacentral:piRNA from 1 species
UCCCAAGGGAAGCAAGUGUCUGUCAUGGA